GCGCUCUGGAUCUGCAAACCCAUCGAGGGCAAGGUCGUCUGGCGCGUCGAGGUCGGCCGAUGCCUCCGGCACCAGACGGCCGACGCUACUCCUCAGAUCCACCCGCCGCGGCGAGCAUAUGGCGCCCACGGCUGCUCAGUGAGUGGACGGUGACCACGGCUGUGCGGGGAAAAGCGGAGGAAGCCGCAGGCGCUGCUCGACUCGCUCUCGGGGGACCGCCCGCCACCGCCAACGCAGGAGCCGGUGCGCCUCCAGGCCGGCGUCCUCCGCUUCCCAUCCGAAGGCAGCGCUGAGUUCGGGGUCCACGCAUCCUUCGUCACCAAGAAGCAACAAGCAUUGGCGCAGUGCCCCUUGGUGUGCAGGUGCCGGCGUGCCGCUGGUCCUCUCCAGCGCCGCAGCACAGCCACACGUAGCAGACAGGCCUGCUCCUUCCCUCUUUCCUCUCUCUGUUCCUGGAAGAUCAACAGUAAAGAUGCUAGUUACUUGCUAGUACUUAUGCAUUACUAAUCCUGUGAAAUUCAUAGAAAAUUUAUGGUAGAUCCAAAAAUUCUGAGUCCUGUCAUGUUGCUUCAAAAAUUCUUUGAUUGCUUCAUUACUCUGUCUAGUCCUCAAUGUGCUAAUCAUUAUUUCAUUGCUUCACUGAGUAUUUUGAACUGCGAAUGUCACUGCUAUUUCUCCUGUAUCACUACUGUUGGAAUAUAACUCUCCACAUGAUUUAGUCAUUUCCUACUAGAAGCUGCUUGCCUAUUCUACAUGUCCUAUCUUGGCUAGUUUGUUGAUUACUUUCUUGCCUGAAGCUAUUUUGGCUAAUGUAGAGUUUAACCUCUCUGCAUAUUAAUGCUAGUACUGCCUUACCUAGCUCCUAGCAGCCCAAAAAAAUUAAUUAAAGCUUCGUCAGGUUCAAAUUUCACCCGCUAUCUGCCAGCAUUUUGAGAUUUAUGUUUCUUUAUGCUUCAAGUGACCCAAAGGUUCUGUGUACUUGCAGGCUAUGUGUCUACCAUGGGUCUCUAUGAAUCGGCCUACCAGUUAUCAUGGUUUACCUGGGAGGCCCUUCUUACUACACUGCCAGCACUUUUUACUAUGCUAUUUGGGAUGAUGUUCCAGUUUGACUUCUUCCUUAAUAAUAGUAUUUGGGAUGAUGUUCCAACUCAAUUUCUUCCCUGGUCGCCCCUGUUCUAUGGCGAGUACUGAAAAACUAUACUGCUAAUAACAUAGUUCGUAUUGCAUAUGUGCUUGCUUUCCACUUACAGGAAGCUGUCACAUGUUCACAUAAGUUUCUGAUUAUUAAGUGGCUGGUUAUCUACAGUGCUGACUUCACUACUGCCUUCAAGAAUAUUUCAUUUGUUUGUAUAACUGUGUAGAACAUUAGUUCUUCCUGGACCAAUGUUGCAUUACGACCAAGAAGCUUGGAACUGAGCAAAGCUGCAGGACAUGAUCAAAGAGUUUGAUGCUGGAUGUACACCUGUUAUGUUGUUGGAUGGAAUGUUGAGACUUUGUAUUUGAUGUGGUACUGGAUGUUAUUGAAUCUGAGUUCUUGUUCAAUUUGUUGUGUCAACAAAAUUACAAUGAUUUUUGAAUGGGCUUUAUGUCUUGUUUU